CUCAUGACAUCUGAAAAUAGAGAUAAUUUGAUUUCCCCUUUUCCAAUUUGGAUGCCUUGUAUUUCUUUCUCUUGCCUGAUUACUGUGUCCAGGACUGCCAGU